GAUGAACGCUGGCGGCGUGCUUAACACAUGCAAGUCGAACGAUGAAAGCGGGAGCUUUCCCCUGCUGGAUUAGUGGUGAACGGGUGAGUAACACGUGAGCAAUCUGCCCCGAAUUCUGGGAUAAGCGUUGGAAACGACGUCUAAUACCGGAUACGAUGCGCGGAGGCAUCUUCUGCGCGUGGAAAGAACUUCGGUUCGGGAUGAGCUCGCGGCCUAUCAGCUGGUUGGUGAGGUAACGGCCCACCAAGGCGAAGAAGGGUAGCCGGCCUGAGAGGGUGACCGGCCCGACUGGGACUGGGACAGCGCCCAGACUCCGUCGGGAGGAAGGAUUGGGGGAUAUUGCACAAUGGGCGCCAGCCUGUAUCAGCAAAGCCGCGUGAGGGACGGAGGCCUUCGGGUUGUAAACCUCUUUUAGUAGGGAAGAAGCGAAAGUGACGGUACCUGCAAAAAAAGCACCGGCUAACUACGUGCCUGCAGCCGCCGUAAGAC
rnacentral:rRNA from 1 species